CACAGUCAAUCACCAUGGAACUAACACAAACCAUAGACUGUUGAGGUGCACCAAGGGAGAUGAGCUGGACAGUUCUGGAAAAAGAAGGGAAAAAAAAAAAGAAAACCUGAUUUUGACACAAAAAGAAACCACAUUUCAAGCCUGGACUCCCAAGUCCUCAUGUGGGCACUUCCACCAUUGACUAAAAUGGACACAUGGCUCCCUCCGGGUCUAUUGGAGUACACGAGUAUGGAUUUAAGGAAAAGAAGACAGAUGCUGGCAAUAAACAGUAUGCCAGUAAGGGCCCAGCAACAGCAGACUGCCUCAGCAGACAAGACAAGAGAAGUCCAUCAAACAUCCUAUUUUAAAAAGAGGAAGUUGUUCUGGGUAGCAAGAAGUUUGAGAAGUUUCUACAAGGACUCAGGCUGAUUCAGGAGAAGAGAAGAUCAUCACUGCUUAUCUAUUUUCCCCCUUAUUCACCCGUAUUAAGAAAAGACUUAUUCCCUUAGUCCUUUGAUUCAGUGUCAUCAUUUAAGUAUUAUGUGUAAGAAACAAUAAGGAAACUGAUUGUGUAUGUGUG